GUGCUUGCUUUGGCAGCACAUAUACAAAAAUUUGAACAAUACAGAGAAGAUUAGCACGGCCCCUGAGCAAGGAUGACACGCAAAUUCAUGAAGUAUUCCAUACUUAA